AGUGAACGCUGGCGGUAGGCCUAACACAUGCAAGUCGAACGGCAGCACAGUAAGAGCUUGCUCUUACGGGUGGCGAGUGGCGGACGGGUGAGGAAUACAUCGGAAUCUACUUUUUCGUGGGGGAUAACGUAGGGAAACUUACGCUAAUACCGCAUACGACCUAUGGGCGAAAGCAGGGGAUCUUCGGACCUUGCGCGAUUGAAUGAGCCGAUGUCGGAUUAGCUAGUUGGCGGGGUAAAGGCCCACCAAGGCGACGAUCCGUAGCUGGUCUGAGAGGAUGAUCAGCCACACUGGAACUGAGACACGGUCCAGACUCCUACGGGAGGCAGCAGUGGGGAAUAUUGGACAAUGGGCGCAAGCCUGAUCCAGCCAUACCGCGUGGGUGAAGAAGGCCUUCGGGUUGUAAAGCCCUUUUGUUGGGAAAGAAAAGCAGCAGGUUAAUACCCCGCUGUUCUGACGGUACCCAAAGAAUAAGCACCGGCUAACUUCGUG
rnacentral:rRNA from 1 species